GGACUAACAGGCGUGAGCCACCGCACCCGGCCAAGCUGGAUCUUAAGCUUGCUUACCGGUGACUUGUUGACCUCAUCUUGGCUCAAAGAAGACACGGCCCCAGGCCCGUGUUGGAGCCACACUGCCCGGGACAGCCCUGAAGCAGCCACGUCCCCACCUUUCAGGAGUCGGCCAAGAGCACGGUGGCUGCAGAAGGCCCUGGCUGAUG
rnacentral:lncRNA from 1 species